AUUGAACGCUGGCGGCAGGCCUAACACAUGCAAGUCGAGCGGAUGAAGGGAGCUUGCUCCUGGAUUCAGCGGCGGACGGGUGAGUAAUGCCUAGGAAUCUGCCUGGUAGUGGGGGAUAACGUCCGGAAACGGGCGCUAAUACCGCAUACGUCCUGAGGGAGACAGUGGGGGAUCUUCGGACCUCACGCUAUCAGAUUAGCCUAGGUCGGAUUAGCUAGUUGGUGGGGUAAAGGCCUACCAAGGCGACGAUCCGUAACUGGUCUGAGAGGAUGAUCAGUCAGCCGGGAACUGAGACACGGCCGCGACUCCUGCGGGAGGCAGCAGUGGGGAAUCUUGGACAAUGGGCGAAAGCCUGAUCCAGCCAUGCCGGGUGUGUGAAGAAGGUCUUCGGAUUGUAAAGCACUUUAAGUUGGGAGGAAGGGAAAUAAGUUAAUACCUUGCUGUUUUGACGGUACCAACAGAAUAAGCACCGGCUAACUUCGUG
rnacentral:rRNA from 1 species